rnacentral:rRNA from 1 species
UACGGAGGAUGCGAGCGUUAUCCGGAUUUAUUGGGUUUAAAGGGUGCGUAGGCGGGCUUUUAAGUCAGCGGUAAAAAUUCGGGGCUCAACCCCGUCCGGCCGUUGAAACUGGGGGUCUUGAGUGGGCGAGAAGAAGGCGGAAUGCGUGGUGUAGCGGUGAAAUGCGUAGAUAUCACGCAGAACCCCGAUUGCGAAGGCAGCCUUCCGGCGCCCUACUGACGCUGAGGCACGAAAGUGCGGGGAUCGAACAGG